rnacentral:lncRNA from 1 species
CUGAUAUAUGGAAAGCAUUCUUUUUGUGUCUAAUUCUUGUAUUUUUGUUAAGUUUAUUAUAAUAAAGUGGAGUGUAAUAAUACAUAUUGAUAGUGAGCAAUUCAUUUUGAGCAUUUCAGACUUCAAAGCACACCAUUUACAAGAUUUAGUUCAAAUCUUUUGUAACUUGUAUAGAAAAUGAAUACUUUAUAAAUGUAUUCAUUAUUUGUCUUGAAAAAUAAUUUAAUCAGCAUAUUAUGUCACGAUGACAUCAUUAUAGUAACAACAUGACAUCAUCCAUUGUUGUCAUACUGGUGAUGCUAUGACAUCAUUCCUAAUUUGAACAUCACUGAAGGAUUUAAUGAAAGCUUUUUUAUUGCUACCCAAAAUACCUCACCUUCUGUGGUGAUCUUGUCCAGGAUAAUCUAUGUUAUCUGCACAGUCAUAGAUCUUUAUGCCAAGUUUGGUCAUGAGGGGUCAAACAAUGCAAAAGACUUUGGGAAACAUAGUAUCAUAUGCCUCCGAGGUACAGGCAUUUGAUUGACAUCAGUGUAAUGAAAAAUUACUGUGACAUCAUCUAUUGUUAUAUUAUGAUGACACAUUAUAAAUACACCUAUAAUGGCAUCCUGAAUUUGAAGAAAAUUUUGAAAGAUUUAAAUAUGAUAAUUUUUUUAUCAAAAAUUUUCUGCCAUAGGGGUAUUUUGCAAAUUUCAGAAGGACCUUUAGAAAAUUAUUUCUGCAAAUAAUUUUCUAAAGGGUCUGAGGCCAGUCUCUACCUCCAUGCAAAAUUUCAAUUCUAUAAAAUAUUCACAAGUGCUCAAACAGUUUGUGCAGAUGCACAAAUAUAUGGAUCAUUUAUUAUGAAAGUGAUG